CACACGCUCAAUUUCACUUUCACUUUAACUAAUACCUUAAAAAAAAGGUACUGCAUUUGUUUAUUGAUGCGUGAAACCUCCAUAUAUUAUAACCUUCAACCUCCAUACGAUGACUGUUCUCCAUACAACCGCUCCACCACCGCACACCGCUCCACCGCCGUACCACCGAACCACUGGCGCACAACUUCUGAGCACCGCACCACCCGCGCUCCGCUGAGUAUGUGCUGCUUGCUGCAGAAAAGAUAAAAAUACAUAUCUCAUUGGGAAGUUGAUGUUGAGGUGGAAGAGUUUUAUCUCAAGGAGGGUGCAAAUCAUCUUAAUGGCGGCUUAUUUGUAGGGAAAACACUUAUUUAUGCUGAUCUAAAUCAUAUUAUCUUGAGGAUCACCCCCAAAUAUGAAUCUGAAGCGAAGGAAAACUAUGUUUUGGUUUCAUCUCACAUUGAUACUGAUGUGUUCUCACAUACGUAUGUGAUUAUAAUAUCUUUCACUGUUGUUUUGACUUUUGACUGUCUCUGUAUUUGUGACAAGCUUCUGAAGAAGAGUUUAGUAAUAUACUUAUUCUCUUGAAACAUCUAUAUCUAUGUAUGCCUUUCUUAUGGACUAGAUCUUGGACCUGUGUUUCAUGUCUUUAAAGGAUUGGAUGGAGUUAAUCCGACGCCAUUAAAUUAUAUAUAUGAAGUAUAUUUUGAUGGCUUUCGUCA